GGGAAGGUAGCUCAGUGGUAGAGUGCUUGCCUUGCAUGCAAGAGGCCCUGGGUUCGAUUCCUCAGCACCA
rnacentral:tRNA from 1 species